CAGUAGCCGCGGGAAUACGGAGGGUGCAAGCGUUAUCCGGAUUUAUUGGGUUUAAAGGGUCCGUAGGCGGACUUAUAAGUCAGUGGUGAAAGCCUGUCGCUUAACGACAGAACUGCCAUUGAUACUGUAAGUCUUGAGUAUAUUUGAGGUAGCUGGAAUAAGUAGUGUAGCGGUGAAAUGCAUAGAUAUUACUUAGAACACCAAUUGCGAAGGCAGGUUACCAAGAUAUAACUGACGCUGAGGGACGAAAGCGUGGGUAGCGAACAGGAUUAGAUACCCGGGUAGUCCCUGUCUCUUAUAU
rnacentral:rRNA from 1 species